GGCACAUUUCUGACGCUCAGUCACGAAAGCACGGGGAGCGAAUAGGAUUAGAUACCCUAGUAGUCCGUGCCGUAAACGAUGCAUACUAGGCAUAGGGGAAAUCGACCUCCUCUGUGUCGAAGCUAACGCGUUAAGUAUGCCGCCUGGGAAGUACGAGCGCAAGCUUAAAACUCAAAGGAAUAGACGGGGAUCCGCACAAGUGGUGGAGCGUGUGGUUUAAUUCGAUGGUAAGCGAGGCACCUCACCAGGGCUUGAAACUGAACUGCAAUAUUUGGAAACAGAUAUGCCUUCGAGGGUGUUCAGCAGGUGUUGCAUGGUUGUCGUCAGCUCGUGCCGUAAGGUGUUCCCUUAAGUGGGGUAACGAGCGCAACCCCUAUCGUAUGUUAUACAUGUCAUGCGAGACUGCCCAGCCUAAAGAUUAUGAAAGAAGUAAAAAAUAUUUUUUACAGAUAUUCGUAGUUUGUAGGCUGGGAGGAAGGAGGGGAUGACGUCAAAUCAGCAUGGCCCUUUGACGCCCUGGGCGACACACGCGCUACAAUGGCCGGUACAGAGGGUUGCCAAACCGCAAGGUGGAGCCAAUCCCAAAAAACCGGUCUCAGUUCGGAUUGGAGUCUGCAACUCGACUCCAUGAAGCU
rnacentral:rRNA from 1 species